CCCAGCCACCGGGAGGAGAGAAAUCAGGGAUGGGGAGGGGGACCAGAGAGACCCCUCCGAUCAAGAUACUGCACAGACCCCCGCCAGUCAUGGUGCAACCCUCCAGGCUCACGCUGGCAGGUUGCAGGAGCAGGCUUGAGCUCCAGCCUUGGCGUACACAAGAAUCUCAGGAUCCCUGGACCUCAAGACCAGCAGGAGUGGCAGGUGUCUUAGGAAUCAUCUCAUUCAGUGUGCUCAUCAUAGAAAAGGAAUCAAGUCCAAAGAAGGAGCUUCCAAUGAAACUGCUGGUGCAACCUCAGGAACAGAAGUCUGCGAUCAAAGAGGGUGACAAAGCCUCCUCCUCGUGCCCACAGCUUCAGGAAAGGGGGCUUGGAGGGACCUACAUCCUGACCUUUGUGUCUUGAUAAGCGUUCUCGGAGAUACGUUAACCCCUGUGAGAUCUCCAGAGUCCACAAAUUGAAUAGCAAAU